rnacentral:rRNA from 1 species
GACGAACGCUGGCGGCGUGCUUAACACAUGCAACUCGAACGGAAAGGCCCUGCUUUUGUGGGGUGCUCGAGUGGCGAACGGGUGAGUAACACGUGAGUAACCUGCCCUUGACUUUGGGAUAACUUCAGGAAACUGGGGCUAAUACCGGAUAGGAGCUCCUGCUGCAUGGCGGGGGUUGGAAAGUUUCGGCGGUUGGGGAUGGACUCGCGGCUUAUCAGCUUGUUGGUGGGGUAGUGGCUUACCAAGGCUUUGACGGGUAGCCGGCCUGAGAGGGUGACCGGCCACAUUGGGACUGAGAUAGGGACCAGACUCCUACGGGAGGCAGCAGUGGGGAAUAUUGCACAAUGGGCGGAAGCCUGAUGCAGCAACGCCGCGUGCGGGAUGACGGCCUUCGGGUUGUAAACCGCUUUCGCCUGUGACGAAGCGUGAGUGACGGUAAUGGGUAAAGAAGCACCGGCUAACUACGUG